AACAACUUGCAAGCUUGGAGGAUAAGCGAAUAGAAUAGACUUUUGUGCGCCAUCAUUGCAUAUCUGGUUGAUUACGAUUCUCAAAUAUAUUUUAUGCUUUAAAAAAAAACUGACACACAUCACCAUUGAAUAGUUUGUGACACUCUGAGCGGGCUUUAUCCUCAAAUCAAAAGUUUUUAUUUUAUUUUUUAAAUAAGUCGUAGCCAAUCAGACGUCUAUAACAAUUUCGGCCAAUCACAAUUGGGCCACAGUCCGUUACACUGGCGCGAAAUGUAUGAGAAGAUGGCGAACGUCAAGGCAGCAGGAGCUAACGUUAGCGCUCACCAAGAAAAAAAAAACACUUUAGAAAGUUCUGAUGACGAAACAGACAUUGAGAUGAAGCGACAAUAUGAAAAAGCAAAAAGACAAAAAAAAGUUGCAAAAGAGAGGAUCCUCACUCAGUUGAAGGAUACACUGAGGAAACCACUCCACUCCACUCCAUGCAGAACCAAUCCAUUACAUAGUGAGGAGGAAGUUGAAUCCGAAACGGUGGACACAAACGUGGAUUUGUUCAAUUACCCAGGGAAUUCUCAAUCAACCAGACAAAAAAAGGUUGGAAAGGAGAGGGUCCUCACUCAGCUGAAGGAUACACUGAGGAAACCACUCCACUCUGAUCCACGCAGAACCAACCCGUUACAUAGUGAGGAGGAAGUUCAAGCCGAAACCGUGGACACAAAUGUGGAUUUGUUCGAUUACCCAGAGAAUUUUCAACCAACCGAUACCUUAGAUGCUGCUGAGGCAAGUGGAGAGAGCGUGGAACAGCCAUUAUUUGUCAGUGGUGAAGUGUUGAAAGCUUUGAAAGAAAUUCCCACCUUAGUGCAGUGUGUCAAGGAACUAAUAUCCUCAAUGAACACAGGGAUCGAUACAGCAAGCACAAGCUCAGGGUCCUCCAGCUCAGCCCAAGAGAUGAUUUCUCUGGGCAACAUGGCUGUCCAAGUCAACAAAACCUGCUUUAGGAGAUUGAAUAGGAGCAGAAUGUCCCUGUUCACUCAAGAGUUAGCUGUUUUGUUGUUUGGGAGGGAGGUUCUGGGUUCAUCUAGCCUCACUGGGAAUAGGUCCCAA
ensembl:lncRNA